UACUUUGCGCAGUGGCGAUAUUGUAACCAACGAGGUACAUCCGAGGUGCGAUUAUUGCUAGUUGAAAAAAAUAGUAAAUAUCACGUGUAAUUCAUAAUAAUUAAUACAUACUACUCACAAACUAUAAAAACAUUCAAAUUG